CGCUGGCGGCAGGCCUAACACAUGCAAGUCGAGCGGAUGAAAGGAGCUUGCUCCUGGAUUCAGCGGCGGACGGGUGAGUAAUGCCUAGGAAUCUGCCUGGUAGUGGGGGACAACGUUUCGAAAGGAACGCUAAUACCGCAUACGUCCUACGGGAGAAAGCAGGGGACCUUCGGGCCUUGCGCUAUCAGAUGAGCCUAGGUCGGAUUAGCUAGUUGGUGAGGUAAUGGCUCACCAAGGCGACGAUCCGUAACUGGUCUGAGAGGAUGAUCAGUCACACUGGAACUGAGACACGGUCCAGACUCCUACGGGAGGCAGCAGUGGGGAAUACUGGACAAUGGGCGAAAGCCUGAUCCAGCCAUGCCGCGUGUGUGAAGAAGGUCUUCGGAUUGUAAAGCACUUUAAGUUGGGAGGAAGGGUUGUAGAUUAAUACUCUGCAAUUUUGACGUUACCGACAGAAUAAGCACCGGCU
rnacentral:rRNA from 1 species